rnacentral:rRNA from 1 species
GCUCAGUAACACGUGGAUAACCUGCCCUUGGGACCGGGAUAACCCCGGGAAACUGGGGAUAAUACCGGAUAACGCAUAUCUGCUGGAAUGCUUUAUGCGUAAAAUGGAUUUGUCUGCCCAAGGAUGGGUCUGCGGCCUAUCAGGUAGUAGUGGGUGUAAUGUACCUACUAGCCUACGACGGGUACGGGUUGUGAGAGCAAGAGCCCGGAGAUGGAUUCUGAGACAUGAAUCCAGGCCCUACGGGGCGCAGCAGGCGCGAAAACUUUACAAUGCGGGAAACCGUGAUAAGGGGACACCGAGUGCCAGCAUCAUAUGUUGGCUGUCCAGAWRWRUAAAAWACAUCUGUUAGCAAGGGCCGGGCAAGACCGGUGCCAGCCGCCGCGGUAACACCGGCGGCCCGAGUGGUGAUCGUGAUUAUUGGGUCUAAAGGGUCCGUAGCCGGUUUGGUCAGUCCUCCGGGAAAUCUGACGGCUCAACCGUUAGGCUUUCGGUGGAUACUGCCAGACUUGGAACCGGGAGAGGUAAGAGGUACUACAGGGGUAGGAGUGAAAUCUUGUAAUCCCUGUGAGACCACCUGUGGCGAAGGCGUCUUACCAGAACGGGUUCGACGGUGAGGGACGAAAGCUGGGGGCACGAACCGGAUUAGAUACCCGGGUAGUCCCAGCCGUAAACGAUGCUCGCUASGCUCACCAUGGCGCGACCGUGUCUGGUGCCGCAGRGAAGCCGUGAAGCGAGCCACCUUGGGAA